ACAGUGGACGCGAGCAUCUGUGGCCAAGUUUUUAAGGGCGCACGGUGGAUGCCUUGGCACCAGGAACCGAUGAAGGACGUGGGAGGCCACGAUAGGCCCCGGGGAGCUGUCAACCGAGCUUUGAUCCGGGGGUGUCCGAAUGGGGAAACCCGGCAGUCGUCAUGGGCUGUCACCCGCUGCUGAACACAUAGGCAGUGUGGAGGGAACGCGGGGAAGUGAAACAUCUCAGUACCCGCAGGAAGAGAAAACAACCGUGAUUCCGGGAGUAGUGGCGAGCGAAACCGGAUGAGGCCAAACCGUAUGUGUGUGAUACCCGGCAGGGGUUGCGCAUGCGGGGUUGUGGGAUCUCUUUUUCAUAGUCUGCCGGCUGUGAGACGAGUCAGAAACCGUUGAUGUAGGCGAAGGACAUGCGAAAGGUCCGGCGUAGAGGGUAAGACCCCCGUAGCUGAAACAUUGACGGCUCGUUUAAGAGACACCCAAGUAGCACGGGGCCCGAGAAAUCCCGUGUGAAUCUGGCGGGACCACCCGCUAAGCCUAAAUAUUCCCUGGUGACCGAUAGCGGAUAGUACCGUGAGGGAAUGGUGAAAAGUACCGCGGGAGCGGAGUGAAAUAGUACCUGAAACCGUGUGCCUACAAGCCGUGGGAGCGUCGCGCAUCGAGCUUGCUCGGUGCGUCGUGACUGCGUGCCUUUUGAAGAAUGAGCCUGCGAGUUUGCGGUAUGUUGCGAGGUUAACCCGUGUGGGGAAGCCGUAGCGAAAGCGAGUCCGAAUAGGGCGUUUGAGUAGCGUGCCCAAGACCCGAAGCGGAGUGAUCUAGCCAUGGGCAGGUUGAAGCGGAGGUAAGACUUCGUGGAGGACCGAACCCACCAGGGUUGAAAACCUGGGGGAUGACCUGUGGUUAGGGGUGAAAGGCCAAUCAAACUCCGUGAUAGCUGGUUCUCCCCGAAAUGCAUUUAGGUGCAGCGUCGUGUGUUUCUUGCCGGAGGUAGAGCACUGGAUAGGCGAUGGGCCCUACCGGGUUACUGACCUUAGCCAAACUCCGAAUGCCGGUAAGUGAGAGCGCGGCAGUGAGACUGUGGGGGAUAAGCUCCAUGGUCGAGAGGGAAACAGCCCAGAGCAUCGACUAAGGCCCCUAAGCGUACGCUAAGUGGGAAAGGAUGUGGAGUCGCAGAGACAACCAGGAGGUUGGCUUAGAAGCAGCCACCCUUGAAAGAGUGCGUAAUAG
rnacentral:rRNA from 1 species